AUUCCGGUUGAUCCUGCCGGAGGCCAUUGCUAUCGGGGUCCGAUUUAGCCAUGCUAGUCGCACGAGCUUAUACUCGUGGCGAAUAGCUCC
rnacentral:rRNA from 1 species